rnacentral:lncRNA from 1 species
UCAUUCUAAUUUUUGUGCUUCUUAUUAAUGCAUGCCAAUUGCAUUUCCUCUUACAGUGACUAUAAAGUGCCACUGACAGCGCUGUCUGAGAGCCAACUUGCCCUGUGUCACCCAGAAAAGGAGUUGCUCCCUUUGGUGUUAGCUAACUGCCAUUACACACUAGAGAAGGGUCAGCAAACAGUGAGCUCCUAUGAUCAUGAGUCUAUUGAGAGAGAACUCAGCAGACGAUUUUUUGCAGGCAAACCACGCAUUCAAACAGUGAGUCUACACAUUUUAAAACUUGUUUUCAUACUAAUGUUAAAUAUAUGACCAGAUUCAUUGGUUGCUAAAGACUGAGAAUUUCAUGCAGGACACUGAUAAAUACCUGAGAAGACAACAUCAGAAUUUUAUAGAAGUCCUCAAUGAGGUCAGAGCCAAAAUACCUCAGGAACCUCUCAAGGCCUCUGUGCUCAGUUCCAUGAGAUCAAUGCUACGUUCAUUCACCGAUGUGUGUGACGCAGUUUAUGCCGUGGAGAUUGGGCUUCGUUUCCUUGGUAAAACUGGUGGACACCCACAAGAUCUGCUUCUGUCCUAUCUGAAAGUUUCCUUGAAAAUGGACCAACACAUCUCAAGCACCAUAGCUGAGGCUUUAAAAGAGAACCGGCUUAAUCAGUGCACAGCCACCUGGCAGCUCCUUACCUGCUGGAAGAGUGAACAGAUGAUAAGGAAACGACAGGUAAUUUGACAUUCAGCUUUUGUGACAUCUAGUACUGUAUAUCAAUAAUACCAAUCACA